CGGCAAUCACAUCUCAAAAACUAAGAGACACAGUGGGCUCAGAUCAGGUAAAAUAGACUGCAAUCCAAGCUUGUCGCAACUUGCAACCCUUCCUCUCGCAUUGACUUUCGAAUUUUAACAUAAAAUAAUUUAUUGUGAAAAAAAAAAAAAACACCCCUCGAAGAUUGCUACACCAUAUAGUUAAUUUGCAGGCCCAUCAUCUUUUCUGACCCACUGUCUAACUUGUUUUCUUGAAUUUUGUAUUCUCUGCUUCCUCCUGCCAAAGUUCCUGUGCUUACCGGAGCUCGGUCUAUUUGAAGAACCCCCAGAAUUUGUUUCCAUGGAUGCUGUUGAGUCUCUUUGCUGUUCUUCCGUGGUUUCUUUAUUCAACGCCUGGGUUGGCAAUGUUACUGGCCGAGGAAGAUACAUACCAGGCAAAACAACUAGAUCUCUUUUUGGUUCAAUUAUGCCACUAUUUUCUUGCUGCAGUUUUAGUAUGGCCUCAAAUUUCUGUUUUCUAAUCUUCUCUGAAUCACACUGGAGUAGUUUCACAUCUUCAAUUUCCGUUCUGUCAGAGCUCAAUUCAGAGAAAUUCGUUCCAACCAAGCUGCGCACAUGUUCAAAAUCCUUGGUAUGAAAAACCUUGCGGCAAACUGGACAGUCCCCCAUACUUUCUUCCUCUAAGCCAUGAAUGUGAAUGUCAUUCUGAUUUCCCCUGUCUCUGAUGGAAUGCAGAGAUGUGGUAGAUGAGAUGUUAAUGUUGCUUUCUUUCUCUUUUUGGAUCCAAUUCCACCAAUUCAUGAUGCAUUCACAGUGAAAGCAAUGGAAACAAGACAUCAGCUUCAUAAAUGGUAAGGAUUCAUUCUCUUCGUCUUCUAGGAGCAAAGGGUACAAACACAAUGGACAAUUGCCAUCAGGGUGAUUCAUAAUAGAGAGCUUCUCCACUGCUUCCUCGCAAAGUGCUACAAUCAUCAAACAUGAGAAGAGUUCACAUGCUUUGUCUUGUAUGCUUUUUAUUAGAUGCUUCUGCCUUUGUUCAUCAAGCCCCUUGGAUUCUAUAAGAUCAAUACUGGGUGGCUCCUUUGGAUACUGGGAACCUGCUCGUAUCCCAAUAACUGCUUCCACAAACUGUUGGGAAGAGAUAUCGGCGGUUCGUGGCUUGAUGUGAACGUGAAGAUGGGGAGGGAAAGAAUCUAGAACCACACAAUCGUCUCCGUACACCGCUUGCACCGCUUCCACUUCUAUCAGCACUUCUUCUUCUUCGGCCAUCUUUUUUUGGCAAUCCUUUCUGCAGGUAGAGAGGGAAAGGGAUAGAGAGAGGGCCUUGAUGAUUCUAGAGGAAAGUUGGAUCAUGAGCUGCUACCAUGUCGUCUAGCAUUGCUAGGCACGGCGAUG
rnacentral:misc_RNA from 1 species